rnacentral:piRNA from 1 species
UUAACACCGAAUGGAUCUUCUGG